CUGACACAGGGAGGUAGUGACAAUAAAUAACAAUGCCGGGCCUUUUUAGGUCUGGCAAUUGGAAUGAGAACAAUUUAAAUCCCUUAUCGAGGAUCAAUUGGAGGGCAAGUCUGGUGCCAGCAGCCGCGGUAAUUCCAGCUCCAAUAGCGUAUAUUAAAGUUGUUGCAGUUAAAAAGCUCGUAGUUGGAUUUCUGGUGGGGGUGUUUGGCCGGCUCAAUGAGUUUUGCGCCUAUACGUCUCCGCCAUCCUUGGGGAAAACUUGCUUGGCAUUAGGUUGUCGAGUUUGGGAUCCCCAUCGUUUACUGUGAAAAAUUAGAGUGUUCAAAGCAGGCUUAUGCCGUUGAAUACAUUAGCAUGGAAUAAUAAGAUAGGACCUUGGUACUAUUUUGUUGGUUUGCGUACCUAGGUAAUGAUUAAUAGGGACAGUUGGGGGUAUUCGUAUUCAAUUGUCAGAGGUGAAAUUCUUGGAUUUAUGGAAGACGAACUACUGCGAAAGCAUUUACCAAGGAUGUUUUCAUU
rnacentral:rRNA from 1 species